GACAGAGGUGCCGAGCGUUAGGCGGAAUCACCGGGCUUAAAGCGUGCGUAGGCGGCGGCGUAAGUACCUUGUGAAAUCCCACGCUCAACCGUGGAACUGCUCGGUAUACUGCGUCGCUUGAGCCAGCUAGGGGCGACCGGAACAAACGGUGGAGCGGUGAAAUGCGUAGAUAUCGUUUGGAACGCCGAUGGUGAAAACAGGUCGCUGGGGCUGUGCUGACGCUG
rnacentral:rRNA from 1 species